AACAAACGCUGGCGGCGUGCCUAAUACAUGCAAGUCGAACGGGGAAAGCUUUCGGGUGAGUACUAGUGGCGCACGGGUGAGUAACGCGUGGAUAAUCUGCCUUAGAGUGGGGGAUAACUAGUCGAAAGAUUAGCUAAUACCGCAUAAGACCACAAGAACUGCGGUUCAAGGGGUCAAAGGUUUUUCGCUCUAAGAUGAGUCCGCGUAAGAUUAGCUAGUUGGUAGGGUAACGGCCUACCAAGGCGACGAUCUUUAACUGGUCUGAGAGGAUGAUCAGUCACACUGGAACUGAGACAUGGUCCGGACUCCUACGGGAGGCAGCAGUAGGGAAUAUUGCACAAUGGAGGAAACUCUGAUGCAGCGACGCCGCGUGAGUGAUGAAGGCCUUCGGGUCGUAAAGCUCUGUCGCAGGGGAAUAACACAAUGAAGGUACCCUGUAAGAAAGGAUCGGCUAACUUCGUGCCAGCCGCCCGCAGUAACAC
rnacentral:rRNA from 1 species